rnacentral:rRNA from 1 species
AACGAACGCUGGCGGCAGGCCUAAAACAUGCAAGUCGAGCGGGCAUAGCAAUAUGGUCAGCGGCGGACGGGUGAAUAACACGUGGGAACAUGCCCUUUGGUACGGAACAACUCAGGGAAACUUGAGCUAAUACCGUAUGUGCCGGUAACGGGGAAAGAUUUAUCGCCAAAGGAUUGGCCCGCGUCCGAUUAGCUAGUUGGUGAGGUAACGGCUCACCAAGGCG